UGCAGCACAGGAUAUUGUCAUUAUGCAGCACAAUCAGGCACUGUGAUGAAAUGCUCUUUUUUCAACAACAGGGUUCCCACAAAGCUCUGAGAAGACACAGAGGCUUGUGAGACUGAUGGGGCUGGCAGAUCUGCUCUUGGAUUUCUCUAAUUCAGGUCUCCUGAGUUCUCUGAACAAAUGCCAUAGUGCAGAUGACAAAUGGACCUUGUUCACUACUCAGUCAGCAGGUUCACUCAUGAAUGAAAAGUGAGUUUGAUUCUCGAGCAGUUGGUCCAGAUGCUGUGGCUGACACUGGCUCUCCCUCCUGCUCCUGACACAGGCCACAACAGAGCACUUCUGUCUGCAAAGCAACAUCAGUAUGUCAAGAAAAAUCAAUGAAAGCAAGGGGAAAAAAUGCCUCUGGCUCUGUCGGCUUUUAAAGCAUAGCUGCACUUUGGAGCUUGGAAAAAGCACGAGGCUGAGGAAAGUCCCAGGAGAGCAGAGGAACUUUGGAGUCACCUUUGGAGGAGUCUCAGGUCUCCUCCUCUCUCUCUCGCCAUUUUUGCUGACAUUAACUAAGGGAAUGAGUACAAGAGAAGAAUACUCAAUGGUGCUAAUGCAAUAAGGAAGCUACCGUGCAAGCCCUGGGCCACAGAGACAGUGCACAAUGCUUGCAUUACCACUUCAAGAAGAUUUUUCAAAUCAUAGACCUUGAAAUCUACUAUUUGCAAAUGAAAUUGUUCUUCACCAUCCUGGGAAUAAGGGUCAAGAAAAAAGCUAAUGAUGGCCUUACAAAUUUUGCACACAAAAUAAGCAUCCCUUAUGUGCAAAGCUGUUCUCAAGAGAUCAUUUCAUUAACAGCUGCAGAGUCUGAAUUUUUUGGUCCUGAUAUUUAGAUGGGAAUCCAAAAAGCCACCAUGAAUUACACAGACAUCUCAGGCUUAGUUAUUCUCAGUGAAUCCCAGCUGCCCUCAGGGGCUAUUUGGAGUGUGCCUUGCUGAAGUA